CGUCUAUAUACGUAUAGCAUAUCAAUAAGCGGAGGAAAAGAAACUAACUAGGAUUCCCUCAGUAACGGCGAGUGAAGCGGGAAGAGCUCAAAUUUGAAAUCUUCAAGGUUCUACCUUGACGAAUUGUAGUUUAAAGAAGUGUUUUCUGUUAGGAGUUGAGUACAAAAGUUCCUUGGAAAUAGGACAUCAUAGAGGGUGAGAAUCCCGUAUUUGACCAUUAUUUCAGCUGUGUGAUACACUUUCAAAGAGUCGGAUUGUUUGGGAAUGCAGUCCAAAAUGGGUGGUAAAUUUCAUCUAAAGCUAAAUAUUGGCGAGAGACCGAUAGCGAACAAGUACCGUGAGGGAAAGAUGAAAAGAACUUUGAAAAGAGAGUUAAACAGUACGUGAAAUUGUCAAAAGGGAAGCGUUUGACACCAGUGUUGUUUUUCCGAAAAUCAAUUACGAAUGUUUUAUUUUUGAGGAGUUAUGACUUCAUCGGCUUGCUCCUUUCUUUAUGAAACUUUCUUAAUGCACUUUUCGGUUAACAAGUCAACAUCAAUUUCUUUUGUUGUAAAAGGGUAUGAGGAAGGUGGCUUUCUUUUCGGAGAAAGUGUUUAUAGCCUUGUGCCUCUGCAAUCGGAGAGAUUGAGGUCUGCAGCGUAGAUCCUUCGGGGUUAGAUACAUUUGUGCUAAGUUAUAGCUUUUCAUAGACAACUUGUUGACUAUGUUUAGUCUUGUAGCUUACUCGCUGACGCUAUUUUACCUACGCUUAGGAUGUUGACUGAUAUGUAGUCGUA
rnacentral:rRNA from 1 species